ACGGAAGUUCGGAAUACGGAUAUUCUAUCUGCGCCCCCGGACCGCCAUUAUGCAUUUAAUUUUAGCGUGGUAGUUGGUUAAACAUAGUCGUUUUACUUUUUUUUUGGAAAUUAAUAGUAUUUUCUAUAAAAUUUCGCAAAGUAAAUUAAGUUCCAAGAUAAUAUUAUAAACGCUAUAUAAGUAUCGUGAUUCAAUUUGCUGGUAAUUUCUUUGUUGGUACAGAAACAAUGGAGGGACCGCCAAGCCGAGGUUUCCGAGGCGGUGGACGCGGUGGUCCUCCAGGUUUAAGAGGACGUGGAGGAUUUGACAUGCGUGGAAGGGGUGGUAUGGUGAUGAGAGGCGCGGAGGCCCACCAAGAGGUGGAGGUCCGCCUAUGCGUGGUGGACCAAGGGGAUUCCGUGGAGGCCCUAUGAGGGGUGGUGGUGACAGAGGAGGUAGAGGCUUCAUGCCUGGCCCCAAGGUCCAGGUCCUCAUCCAGUACCAACAAUUGAAUCUCGGGGACCACCACCACAAAGGGGUGGCUUCAACAAUAGAGGAGGAGGUCCAGGGGGCAUGCGAGGGAGGGGUGGUAGAGGUCGUGGUGACUUUGGCCCCGUGGCGACAGAGGGGGCG